UGAAACUCUUUUGUGCAGCUUACAACUACAGUUCCCCCGUCCCGCGUUGUGGCUCCUGCUGUGUGGACGUGGACAUCCGUUAAGCCCUGCGACAGGAGCCCUCACCUGCCCACUGUCCCGAGGGGAGUACCUACAUGCCCUCUGAUGUGCGGGACUGUCUCCUCGCCUGGGCACACACAGCACCUGUGUCGGGGCAUCUGGGUAUAGCCUGUACUAUCGAGUGUCUCUCCUCCAAGUACUGGUGGCCCACCUUGGCUCAGGGGUUUACAUCUAUUCAUGCUCCACCUGCGCAGAGAGCAAGACACCGAGAUGCCUCCCCUAUGGCAAACUCCACCUGCUGCCGGUUCCCCAACGAACCUGGUCCCAUCUCUCCGUGGACUUUGUCACAGACCGUCCCCCCUCGGAGGGCACACCACCAUCCUGGUCGUUGUGGACCGGUUUUCCAAAGCCUGUCGUUUGAUUCCUCUGCCUAUUCUCCCUACGGACAUGCAGACCGUGGAGGAUCUCUUCUCUCAUGUCUUCCGGCACUACGAGAUUCCGGGGGACAUUGUGUCUGACCGUGUGGUCCUCAGUUCACCUCCCAUGUCUGGAAGGCCUUCAUCGAACGACUGGGUGUCACGGUCAGCCUCACCUCUGGGUACCGUCCCCAAUCAAAUGGGCAGGUGGAAAGGUCAGGAACUGGUGUGUUCUAGGCCAUCAGCCGGCCCUGGCACCCUGGCACUGGAGUCAGAUAGAGGCUCCUGCGGUGGACGAAUUGGUUCCAGCGCGCCGAGGAGGUAUGGAACACAGCGCACACCCAUCUCCAGCACGUCGUCAAUUACCGUCUCUCACCCUCAUUUCAUGUAUGUCCCUUGGCAAGUGCUGGACUCCACGACGCACCUCCCCCUCCCUUGGACGGCGAGGGGGCCCACGGCGUAGCCUGUCCGCAGCCUGUUGGACUCACGGCGUUGUGAGGGGUCUCUCCAGUACCUGGUCGACUGGGAGGGGUACGGUCCCGAAGAGCGGUGCUGGGUUUCGGCGCGGGACGUCCUAGACCGGUCUCUCAUUCGGGACUUCCACAGGCGUCGGGCUGAUUGACCUCCCCCUCCUGUCCAGCUCAGGCGUUCAGCAUCGCUGGCUUUCUAGUUGCUGCCGAACCUGCUACUGGCAAACGCCAUUCACUCGUCAAUCCCGGACUUGUCACGUCAUCAUUACACACACCUGGCUCCAAUUCCCACUCCAUCACUGUAUAUAUAUUGGACACUGUGCUAUCUAACCUCCAAACGAGGUUAGAUAGCCUCCAAACGAGCUUCAAUGCCAUACAACACUCCUUCCGUGGCCUCCAACUGCUCUUAAACGCUAGUAAAACCAAAUGCAUGCUUUUCAACCGAUCGCUGCCUGCACCCGCAUGCCCGACUAGCAUCACCACACUGGAUGGUUCCGACAUUGAAUAUGUGGACACCUAUAAGUACCUAGGUGUCUGGCUAGACUGCAAACUCUCCUUCCAGACCCAUAUCAAACAUCUCCAAUCGAAAAUCAAAUCAAGAGUCGGCUUUCUAUUCCGCAACAAAGCCUCCUUCACUCACGCUGCCAAGCUUACCCUAGUAAAACUGACUAUCCUACCGAUCCUCGACUUCGGCGAUGUCAUCUACAAAAUUGCUUCCAACACUCUACUCAGCAAACUGGAUGCAGUUUAUCACAGUGCCAUCCGUUUUGUCACUAAAGCACCUUAUACUACCCACCACUGCGACUUGUAUGCUCUAGUCGGCUGGCCCUCGCUACAUAUUCGUCGCCAGACCCACUGGCUCCAGGUCAUCUACAAGGCCAUGCUAGGUAAAGCUCCGCCUUAUCUCAGUUCACUGGUCACGAUGGCAACACCCAUCCGUAGCACGCGCUCCAGCAGGUGUAUCUCACUGAUCAUCCCUAAAGCCAACACCUCAUUCGGCCGCCUUUCGUUCCAGUACUCUGCUGCCUGUGCCUGGAACGAAUUGCAAAAAUCGCUGAAGUUGGAGACUUUUAUCUCCCUCACCAACUUCAAACAUCUGCUAUCUGAGCAACUAACCGAUCGCUGCAGCUGUACAUAAUCUAUUGGUAAACAGCCCACCCAUUUUCACCUACCUCAUCCCCACAGUUUUUAUUUAUUUACUUUUCUGCUCUUUUGCACACCAAUAUCUCUACCUGUACAUGAUCAUCUGAUCAUUUAUCACUCCAGUGUUAAUCUGCAAUAUUGUAAUUAUUCGCCUACCUCCUCAUGCCUUUUGCACACAUUGUAUAUAGUAUAAAGAGUCCCCCUUUUUUUCUACUGUGUUAUUGACUUGUUAAUUGUUUACUCCAUGUGUAACUCUGUGUUGUCUAUUCACACUGCUAUGCUUUAUCUUGGCCAGGUCGCAGUUGCAAAUGAGAACUUGUUCUCAACUAGCCUGCUUGUUUUCCUGAGAGGAAUCUCUUCUACUAUUUCUUGAGUACUUUAUUAUUUUGCACUUUGGGUUUUGUCCCGCUUUUAUAUAUGUUGCUUUAAUAAAUUCAGUAGUUCUAAACCUG